GCAAGGUGUUGAUUGGUGGAUAAGGAGAGACAUGAAGUUUGGGAACAAGAUAUCUUCGAUUAAUGGAGCAAACUCGAAUUGUAUAGUUAGAUAAGAUUUAAAUGACGUUGGCAGUUUAUCAUGCAUAUGAUGCCAAGCGGAUACAGAAAUUAGCGGUUGCCUUCAUGGAUCAAUGGGGAAAAGAAACGAAAAGACGUCCAAACUUAAAACAGACAUAACAUUUGUUAGGGCUAAAACAGUCCUAAGUAUUAGAAAGUUUUAUAAAGUCAGUUAUUUUGUAUUAUAUUGUAAUCUUCAUGUAAUUGGGCUUAAGGGCAAUGGGCUUUACUUGUAAAUGUCACCUAUAAAUACGUGACACGGGUUUAGAAUUUGAAGUUCAUUUUGUCACUUCAAUGGGAGUCGUGUAAGGUGAUUGAGAGAUUUUGUACUUUACUGUUUUCAUGAAUAAGAAAAGUUGGUCGGUUCUUCAAGUUCGUGAUC